UACGUAGGGUGCGAGCGUUGUCCGGAAUUAUUGGGCGUAAAGAGCUCGUAGGCGGUGUGUCACGUCGGCCGUGAAAACCUGCAGCUUAACUGUGGGCGUGCGGUCGAUACGGGCAUCACUGGAGUUCGGCAGGGGAGACUGGAAUUCCUGGUGUAGCGGUGAAAUGCGUAGAUAUCGGGAGGAACACCAGUGGCGAAGGCGACUCACUGGACACAUAUUGACGCUGAGGUGCGAAAGCGUGGGGAGCAAACAGG
rnacentral:rRNA from 1 species